CCACUUGAUGCAAAACAUGCCAAAAUUGUGGUGUUGCUCUUAUUAAGGGGUUCUUCUAUGCAACCCUUCUAAAGAGAUUUUCAUUAUGGUGGUAUAGUUCAAACUUUUUGAUUGUGGUUUUUUUUUUUUUUUUUUUAUCAGUGAAAUUCUCUAAACUUCAUUCUGAUAAUAGUUCAGUAUUAUACAUCUGUAUUUGAUUUUAAACCUGUAAGCAAAUACAGCCCUUAUAUUUGAACUGCCUGCUCAUGCAACACAAGGAUCACACCCAAACCAACAGAUGCAAAACAACAAAGGACCAUUUUGCAUCAAGUUGAAAGCAAAUUUUCACAUGAGAUCUUUAUACACAGGUUAUGCAACUUUAGAAUUUAUGAUACCAGCUACAAAGAAUGUUGUUAGAAUGUAUCUGACAAACGAGCUUUUAUAACAUUAACUUUAAAUGGCAUAUGUUGAAUCUAUGUUAAAAUAUGAACUAGCAUUACAGAAAACAGGCUAAACUAUUAACUAGCAUUACAGAAAACAGGUUAAAAUAUGAACUAGCAUUACAGAAAACAGGUUAAAAUAUGAACUAGCAUUACAGAAAACAGGCUAAAAUAUGAACUAGCAUUACAGAAAACAGGCUAAAAUAUGAACUAGCAUUACAGAAAACAGGCUAAACCAUUAACUAACAUUACAGAAAACAGGUUAAAAUAUGAACUAGCAUUACAGUACACAAACUUAACCAUGAAUUAGCAUUACACAUAACAAACUAAACCAUGAACUACUAUUAUAGCAAACAGGCUAAACCAUAACCUAGCAUUACAAUAAAAAGGCAAAAUCUAUGGACUAGCAUUAUAGUAAACAGUUCAAAUAUGAACGAGUAAUCAAUGACCUAACAUUACAACAAAUCAUUAAAUCAUGAACUAGCAUUUUAGUAAACUGGCUAAACUAUGGGCUAGCAUUAUACUAAACAGCUAACAUAUAAACAUGAAUUUCUUAGUGAGAUUUUGUAGCAAAAAUACACAUCUAGCUUAAUACACUGGCAUUUUAAACUUCUGAAAACCACAAGAUGUGAAAUUACUUAAUUUACAAAUCAUUCUUGAUGACUCAUAAAACAAACAGUCAAUAUGUUGUUAUUAUCAAGAAAUUAAUGGAUAAACACCAACACCAAGCUAAUGGGUAGUUGGCCAGGGAUGGGGGGAGGUCAUAUUUUCUCUUCACUUUGCUUCCUCAAGCAAAACAAAAGUGUGCCAUUACUGUGGACUAUAAAUGUGUGUUCAUGUGAAUGUAAAAUUCCACUACAACUCGACACACAAUUUCCACACUCUGUUUUCAAGAAAAUGUUUCCUUUUGCCACUUUUGCCUUCGCAAACAUCAAACAUCAGGAGCAUCUGAGGCCCUUCCACAGGCCUGACAAUGUGACCUAGUAAUACAAUAUCACUUCAUUAAAACUGUGCACACAUGCUCACAAACAGUUGUUCUUUAAUCUUCUACCAACUGUUUGGUAUUUGUUGGACAGAUAAAGCAUAUGAGAUAUAGACAUAACUGACCAACAAUAAUAUUUGUGCUCAGUAAAUCCACAUCAUUCAAAUGUUGUUUACUGCAGUAAUACAUCAUAAAUCACAAUGCUGAAUAGAGUUCCUGGUGCUAACUUUUGAUCUAAAGGAAUACAGCCAGGUUUGUUAACCUCACUGCAUGGCUAUCGUUACACCUAGCUUGCACAACAACACAAGCUUCAACAAACCAUGAAGCUUAAAAAUGAACCAUGAAGCAGUUACAUGAUCUGAAGUCAUGAUCAGGUAACUACCUGACAACAAUAAAAAUUUAACUUGUGUAAUAGACCAGAGAUCUUUUGAAAUCCAUUAAUUGAUGCGUAGUGACUCUGAAAAUUAGCAUACAGUCUUCUGUCAAACUGCUGGAACGGCAAGGCCAGUUCAUUUAUUUUUGCUGUAGACUGAACACAUCUGGCCUUGAGAUCAAAAGAUGAAUAUGAGAAGAGAGUUUAGAAUUUCAGCUUUUAUUUCCUGGUACUUACAACCCCAAUUCCAAAAAAGUUGGGACACUGUGUAAAAUGUACAUAAAUGUAAAUAAAAACAGAAUGCAAAGAUUUGCAAAUCCCAUAAACCCAUAUGUUAUUUACAAUAGAACAUAUGAAAACAUAUCAAAUGUUUAAACUGAGUAAAUGUACCAUUUAAAGAAAUAAAUAAGGUAGUUUUGAAUUUGAUGGCCGUAAACAUGUCUCAAAAAAGUUGGGACGGGGGCAACAAAAGGCUGGAAAAGUAAGUGUUAGUAAAAAAGACACAGCUGGAGGUUAAUUGGGAACAGGUCAGUAACAUGACUGGGUAUAAAAAGAGUAUCUUCUAGAGGCGGAGUCUUUCAGAAGUAAAGAUGGGCAGAGGUUCACCAAUCUGCGAAAACCUGCAUCUACAAUUUGUGGAACAAUUUCAGAAUAAUGUUCCUCAAUGUAAAAUUGCGAAGACUAUGAAUAUCUCAUCAUCAACAGUACGUAAUAUCGUCAAAAGAUUCAGAGAAUCUGGUCAAAUCUCUGUGAAAUCUCCACCUUUUUGGAAUUGGGAUGUGUUGAACAACACAAAACAGAACCUUUUUUAUCAGACCACCCAAUUGUUAGGCGAGUAAAAGUAUAGAAACAGACAAGUCUUGAAGUAAAUUAAAGUAAAUAGCAGUUAAUAUUUGUUUGAUUAUCCCUUGCUUGCAAUAACUGCACCAAGUCUGCGACUCACUAACACCACCAAAUUACUGGUGUCUUCUUUUGUGGUGCUUUUCCAGCCUUCUACAGGAGCUUCUUUUAGUUGUUGUUGUUGUUUUUUUGUUUUGUUUGUUUUUUUUUUUU
ensembl:lncRNA